UUCUAGGUCUUGCUGCUUGUACAUUCGACCAUUAAAAAAUCAGCAGUGGGAGUUGUUACAUUUGUAGGAGAGCAAGGGGAUUCGGAUAUGGAUAUGCUAUAUUCAGUGUUAAUACUUGAUUGAUAUUGUGAAUUCAAGUGAUCGCCUUCAUCUCCUACUGCAUUGGUUAAUGUCUUCCUUUACUUGAUUAAAUUACCUCAGUGUGCCUUUAAUGGUGUUGGCUGCCUGGAUGCAUUAUAUAUUGAUACCCAAGAGACAAAGAUGCAAUAACCGGAAGGUUUUACAUUAUUGAUCACAAGGGUUGGUGUCUCUAUGGAAUGAGCUGCCAAAGGAAGUAAUUGAAACGGGUACAAUGACAGCUUAAAGAAAAUACACAGGUAUCAGUAACUGAAGAUUUAUGCUGGCCUUCAAAUUUUGCCAUUGAUUGGUGACAGAAUUCAAGGUGUUCCUGAUCUAAAAGAGUCAGAGAGAAUGCAAUUUUCUGAUACCACCUUGGAAAAGACAUUGCUGCUAUGAAAGGGAAGAAUUUUGUAAGGGUUCUUUUGAAGACCCUGACCUGGAGUUACAUGCUGACUUUGGUUCUUUGCGGGAAUGGGACCCGUUCUUGGGGUUUCAGGACUGGCUGUUGUUCAGUACACUAAGGAUUCGGCCUGAGAGUCUGGCUUGGAUUUGGAAGCCCAGGAUCUCAAGGCUCUGGAGACGGGUGGAUCGAGGGUUUGUGUCAUUGGGGGAGUCAGAAAAUCUACUGCUGUGUGUUCAAAGACCCGUGAUCUUUGAGGUUUUUGGGAACAGAGCUUGGAAAAAGCGAAGUAAUGGACUUUUAACAUUGUAAACCAGCUAGUUGUUUGUUAGGUCUCCCCGCUCACUGGGAAAAAUGGAGACACCUCCUUCUUCCUUAAUAGGGAGAGAGAGCACCUUGGGUAUGUCGAAUGCCGGGUGAAACCUGAAGUCUUUAGGGUAACUGCAAGUCUGUCUUUUCUACUGCUUUGCUCACGCUUGAGUGCUUGGUGGUGGAUGCUUAUGCUAUCUUUUUUGCUGGUGGGAGGAGGACAGAUCAUUGUUCGCUGCCGCUUAAGUAUGGGAGGGAGUGGAGGGGGGGGACAUUGGGUUCUUACAUUAACUGUUCUUCAUCCUUUGGGGGCACUCCUGUUUUUCAUAGAUGUUUGCAAAAAAAAAGCAUUUCACGAUGUAUAUUGUAUACAUUUCUCCGACAAUUAAAUUGGACCUUUGAAACUUUGAAUAGUUGAGAUUUCCUUCCCUCAGAAAGAUUGUUAAAACCACGAUGGUUUAAUUCUUCCACUCAACACUCUUGCCAUGAAAAGCAAACUCUAGAGGUUUUGACAAAUAUUUCUUGUACUGGGAAAGGUAAAGUCAAGAGCAGACACAAUAAACCACUGGAUCUAAAGGCACCAUCUAAGCUUUAAAGAUUUCGAGCAUUGUAAUAUAGCUAUUUUUUUGAAUUUUAGCUCUAUGAUGUUGUAAUGUGAAUGGCCAUAGCCAUGAAGUGCAAAGUGAAGCAGAACCACACGUGAAAUAUUAGCUCAGCAGACUAAAAUUAGCAAAAGGCAUCAAGUCAGGCCCUUCUUCCACUGCAGCACACUACUAAAAGUGAAUAUGUUGCAUACUGAGAGAACAUUAAUCUCACUGUGCAAGUGCAAGACAAAAGUAGAAUGUAUAAC